rnacentral:rRNA from 1 species
UACGUAGGGUGCGAGCGUUAAUCGGAAUUACUGGGCGUAAAGCGUGCGCAGGCGGUUCGUUAUGUCCGAUGUGAAAGCCCCGAGCUCAACUUGGGAAUGGCAUUGGAAACUGGCGGGCUGGAGUGUGGCAGAGGGGGGUGGAAUUCCACGUGUAGCAGUGAAAUGCGUAGAGAUGUGGAGGAACACCGAUGGCGAAGGCAGCCCCCUGGGCCAACACGUGACGCCUCAGGCACGAAAGCGUGGGGAGCAAACAGG